GGGCGGGUAGCUCAACUGGAUAGAGCAGGUGGCUCUUAACCACCCGGUUGAGGGUUCGAGUCCCUCCCCGCUCACCA
rnacentral:tRNA from 1 species